rnacentral:rRNA from 1 species
AUUGAACGCUGGCGGCAGGCCUAACACAUGCAGGUCGAGCGGAUGAAGGGAGCUUGCUCCUGGAUUCAGCGGCGGACGGGUGAGUAAUGCCUAGGAAUCUGCCUGGUAGUGGGGGAUAACGUCCGGAAACGGGCGCUAAUACCGCAUACGUCCUGAGGGAGAAAGGGGGGGAUCUUCGGACCUCACGCUAUCAGAUGAGCCUAGGUCGGAUUAGCUAGUUGGUGGGGUAAAGGCCUACCAAGGCGACGAUCCGUAACUGGUCUGAGAGGAUGAUCAGUCACACUGGAACUGAGACACGGUCCAGACUCCUACGGGAGGCAGCAGUGGGGAAUAUUGGACAAUGGGCGAAAGCCUGAUCCAGCCAUGCCGCGUGUGUGAAGAAGGUCUUCGGAUUGUAAAGCACUUUAAGUUGGGAGGAAGGGCAGUAAGUUAAUACCUUGCUGUUUUGACGUUACCAACAGAAUAAGCACCGGCUAACUUCGUG